rnacentral:rRNA from 1 species
GAAUCUGUUCAUUAAUUCGAUACAACACGUUAAAUUUUACUUACUUUGGAGAAGGUUUGUAUACCGUCAUUAAGAUAAUUUUGAUAAAAAUUUAUUAAAAAAAAGAAUUUUAAGAAAUUAAAUCAAGGUGCAGCGCAUAAGUAAGGUAGAAAUGGAUUACAAUAGUUUUAAACUGUGGAUAGACUUACGAAAAUAGGUCUGGAAAGUGGAUUUAAUAGUAUAUUGGAUAAUAUAGCAUAUCAGGUAGAAAUUAGCUCUAAGUUAUGUACAUAUUGCCCG